rnacentral:pre_miRNA from 1 species
AGUACAAUUGCUAUGUUAUAUGGUGGUUUCAUAUUUAGUUUUAUAAAAACAACUGUCAGAGUGUUUUCCCAGACUUGUACUAUUUUACAUUCUCACCAGCAAU